UACGGAGGGGGUUAGCGUUGUUCGGAAUGACUGGGCGUAAAGCGCGCGUAGGCGGAUCAGGAAGUUGGGGGUGAAAUCCCGGGGCUCAACCCCGGAAUGGCCUUCAAAACUCCUGGUCUUGAGUUCGAGAGAGGUGAGUGGAAUUCCGAGUGUAGAGGUGAAAUUCGUAGAUAUUCGGAGGAACACCAGUGGCGAAGGCGGCUCACUGGCCCGGUACUGACGCUGAGAUACGAAAGCGUGGGGAGCAAACAGG
rnacentral:rRNA from 1 species